CGAGGCGGUCGGAUGGCCGCGCGUCACGUGGGAGCGAUCCCGCGCCGACGUGAGGAACGUCCGGGCUCCGCAAGCGCAGGGUAGCGGGUAACACCCGUCCGCCGUGAGGCGAGGACCAGUGCCACAGUGACGAUGCCGGCCCGACUCGGGUCGGAGUGAAACGCGGCAAACUCUACCUGGAGCAAGGCCAAAUAGGAGGGCGCAACCCGGCUUCGGCCGGGGGAGAGGUGCGCUGCCCAGCCCUCGGGUCGGCCGCAUGAGCCGUCGGGCGACCGGCGGCCAGAGAUGGAUGGCCAUCACCGCGAGCGAUCGCGGUACAGAACCCGGCGUACAGACCGCCUCGCUGG
rnacentral:RNase_P_RNA from 1 species